AAUUCCAUGGGCGAGAAGAGCGCGAAGGUCCAGCAGCGGCUGGGAGGCGGGGCGAAAACCACGGAGAGCCUGUUGUUUCUCUUGGAGUUGUCCCCAUGUUUUCAUCGCACCACUGCAGGCCUGUGUCUUGAAGAACACUGCUACCCUGCCUCCAGUCUAGCCUCUCUGGCCCAAGUCGGGCUCAGUUCAUUCAGUUCCAAAAUGUUGGCAAACGGAGCCGAGGCGACAGGUCCCCAAGCGGAGCCAGCUCCCAAGCAUCAGCAGUGCCCCUGGCCUCCAGGGCGCAGGGAGCCGGGCGGAGAAGUUUCCUUCCUGAAGAUAUUCGGGGGCAGAGAGUUCUCAGGCUGCUCCCACUGGUGAUUUUUCCACCUGCAGGCGGCGGCGGAGAGAGAAGAGUGUGGGUACGAGGAGCAGGUUUCCAACGUUCCCCUUUACGUCUCUGAUAAGUGUAACUCUGUGAUGCCCAAAGCCCCCGAGGGAGCCCCUUCUUUUGGAAAGGCAAGAAAGGUGAACCUCUUCCAGGCGAAGGCCCUGCCGAGACCAGCUCCGCAAAAGGGAUGAAGGGGACCCUGUAGGCAGUAGAAAUGCUAAGGGGCCUUGGAGCAGGCGGUAGCUUUCCUUUUCGAGCCACCCCUUGGGCUUGCACACCUCCGGGCUCCUGGUAGAGGAGUUUAAGUGCUUCCCAGUGCCAGCUAACCAGUGCUCCGAGUCUCGGCUCGGCCGUCCCCAAAGCACAGCAAAGCUGGGGACGCAUCCUGGAGAGAAUGGAAAUGUGGAGUUUCCCCAGUCUAAGAGAAAGAAGGUUCAGUCUCCUUCCCUACCCCCGCCUGAAGUGUCAAGUUUCCUCCAGGGGAGGGGUGGGCUUCAGGGUCUUUCUUUGCGCGGCCCAGGCUGCAAAGGUUUAGAGUCCCUAGUGGAAGCUAAAAGCGCGCGCGCACACACACACACACUCACACACACACACACACACACACACACACACAUUCACACCACAUCUAUACACACCCUCGUGCACACUUACACACUCGUAUGCACAGAUACACACACGCUGCGAAGGGCUCCAGCUCUCAAAUCGCGGCGGGUCUCACUAACUUUUGGAGCUUCACAGCGGGCGGGGCGCGCGGGGCGGGGCGCGGGUGGUGGAGAAAUUGAUAACAGAUUCGGCGGAUUACAGGGAAUCUCUUUGUUAGAGCCGAAACCACACAAACCGAACCCUAUCCCGGCCGACGCCCCCGGGGCAAAUCCACCAGUUCCCAGAACCCUGGCUAACAGCGAGCGGAGGCACCGGGUUUACUGGACUCAGGUCUCCUCGGUUACAGCUUAGGGGUGUCCCAAGGAGAUCGGCCGGAGAGUCCCGAGAGCAGCAUCUGCCUUGGACCCUCUUCACUUGCCUGGAAACCUCGGUUUUCUUUCCUCUCCAGUCUGUUGCAGCCCCACAAAUCUGAGCGAUUCAAGGAACUCACAGCGAACUCACUAAGGAACACUUCCACUCUAGAGUGUAAAACAUCCGACCCGGUGAGUUUAGGAGAAAUCGAAGCGAAGAAGACGGUGUGGAAGGAGAACUUUCGGGAGACUCCCGCAACAGAGUUAUAUAGAUUUUUUUUAAAAGUUCUGGUCAAAAUUAUCCAGAGAACGAGCCAAAUGUUUUCCAAUAGGGUUGGGAAAGCAGGCUGAGAAGCCGGAGCAUCUGUCGUUCCCCGGCGUACAGUGGAGGGUGCGGGCUUUUAAGAGGUGCAGCGCAGGGGUGGGUGAAGCGAAGGAAAAGCGUUUGCGAGUCUUGAAGCCAAAGACGCUGAAUCUCGAUGCUGCUGCUUCCCCAUAAAGGAAACCUCAAAGCUUUCAGGGUGGACUAGGUGAGAGGUGCAGGCUGCAGCGCUGAUCUAAGGUGCCAACACGAAAGAGAGGGAAGUUGGUGGAAAAGACUAUUUCCUCGGUCUACAUAGCUACAGGACACACAUAAAAGUGCUCAGCUCCCAACUAGAGCGGCUAGGCACAGAGUCUUUUUCCAGGGUCAGGGGCGGGAAGUAGGGGGCAGUGGCCCUACUUCCCAGUUGGGUCAUUUCCUUCUGCUAGAUUCUACAUUUAGGGCCCACGUCUGAGAGUGGAAAUGAUGAGAGAUGCCAACUAGGCGGAAGAGAGUGACCCAGGCUCCCAGUGGCGAAAAGGAAGAUGGGAAACUCCCAGAUCUCUGUUCUUGAAGAGAUGGAAAUUGAACAGUGUUCUCCAGUCUGCUCUUUCUCUGAACCAAGAAGACCGAUGGAGAAACUUGAGGGAGAAGAACUCUGUCGCUGGAACAAACUUGGUUCUCCGGCUUCAAGAAUGGCAGAGAGAAGACAAUGAAGAAAUGACCAAUGUCUGCUUAAGGGGGAGUAGACAAAAGAAGCGUUGCUCCCCAUCUUUAGGGCCUGGGCCCAGCUGAGCUGUACCUGUCCCACUUCAUGAAUACACGUGGUCAGAGCACAUGCAGCAGGCAGAAAUAGCCAGUGAGAUAAGCCAGAGGUUGUCUGGAGCUGCAGUCAGGGUAAGGAACCUGAAAAAUUCCCGAGUGACCCAGAAUUGCCAGGAGAUCGGAGAACAGUAAUAGUCCAGGAGAUAAACUUCGGCUCUUUUCCUAAGCUUCAGCGAUGUUCCCCCAGGGUUCUCAAGGACCCACACACAAUUACCUCGAGUAACUGAGCACAGAGUCAUUUGUCUAAAACAGUUGUGUAGCCCCAAGAGAGAGUGAGAAAUCAAAGAUCGGUUCACUCCCAAUCUUUACAGGGGAUUUUUUUUUUUACAGACGAAGUUCAUAAAUGAAAACAAAAUC
ensembl:lincRNA Gm2670 predicted gene 2670